rnacentral:other from 1 species
CAUAUCCUGAGUGGUGCGGGAUAUUGUGAUAUUUGGACCUACGAACAAUUAAAGGGAGCUUGGAGCUUCUUUUCUCGGGAUGCAGGCCUCCCGUACGGAGCUGUCAUUGACCCUCCGGAUCGGACGUUGGAAGCGCAAAGGAAAAGAGAGAGCACCCACCUGUAGCAUACAGGGUUAAAAAUUGCCUUACACGGCCAUGCGGGUUACAU